ACGGCUCAGUAACACGUCGAUAAUCUACCCUUAAGUCUGGGAUAACCUUGGGAAACUGAGGCUAAUACCGGAUGGAAAAAUAAAUCUGGAACGAUUAUUUUUUGAAAAGCAAUGCUUAAGGAUGAGUUGGCGGCGGAUUAGGCUGUUGGCGAGGUAACGGCUCACCAAACCGAAGAUCCGUAGGGGCUCUGAGAGGAGUAGCCCCGAGAAGGGCACUGAGAUACUGGCCCUAGCCCUACGGGGUGCAGCAGGCGCGAAAACUUUGCAAUGCACGAAAGUGUGACAAGGGAACCCAGAGUGCUAUACUUACGUAUGGCUUUUGCCAAGAGCAAACAUCUUGGAGAAUAAGUGGUGGGCAAGACUGGUGCCAGCCGCCGCGGUAACACCAGCUCCACAAGUGGGGAUCACAUUUAUUUGGCCUAAAGCGUCCGUAGCCGGUUUUGUAAAUCCUUUGUGAAAUUGUUAGGCUUAACCUAACAGCGUGCAGGGGACACUGCAGAACUAGGGACCGGGAAGGGCAAGGGGUAUGUUGAGGGGAGCGGUAAAAUGCAAUAAUCCUCGAUAGACCACCUGUGGCGUAGGCGCCUUGCUAGAACGGGUCCGACGGUGAGGGACGAAAGCCAGGGGAGCAAACCGGAUUAGAUACCCGAGUAGUCCUGGCCGUAAACGCUGCGAGCUAGGUGUUGCAUAUUCUUCGUGAAUGUGCAGUGUCGUAGUGAAGAUGAUAAGCUCGCCGCCUGGGAAGUAUGGUCGCAAGACUGAAACUUAAAGGAAUUGGCGGGGGAG
rnacentral:rRNA from 1 species